AGCAGCCGCGGUAAUUCCAGCUCCAAUAGCGUAUAUUAAAGUUGUUGCAGUUAAAAAGCUCGUAGUUGAAUUUCGGGAUUGACGUGAUGGUCGUGCCUUAAGGGGUAUGAACUGUUGCAGUUGAUUUCUCACCUUCUGGAAAAACUUGAUGUCCUUUAUUGGGUGUCUUGCGGAUCCAGGACCUUUACCUUGAAAAAAUUAGAGUGUUUAAAGCAGGCAUUUUUGCUCGAAUACAUUAGCAUGGAAUAAUAGAAUAGGACGGCAUGGUUCUAUUUUGUUGGUUUCUAGGAUCACCGUAAUGAUUAAUAGGGAUAGUUGGGGGCAUUAGUAUUCAAUUGUCAGAGGUGAAAUUCUUGGAUUUAUUGAAGACUAACUACUGCGAAAGCAUUUGCCAAGGAUGUUUUCAUUAAUCAAGAACGAAGUUAGGGGAUCGAAGACGAUCAGAUACCGUCGUAGUCUUAACCAUAAACUAUGCCGACUAGGAAUCAGACGAUGUUAAUUUUUUAAUGACUCGUUUGGC
rnacentral:rRNA from 1 species